GCCCGGAGAGAACACCAGGCGGGAGAGAGAGCGCCAGUGCCAUGGGCCAGCUCUGCUGCUUUCCUUUCUCAAGAGACGAGGAAAAAAUCAGUGAUAAGAAUGGAGGUGAGCCUGAUGAUGCUGAACUGGUAAGGCUCAGUAAGAGGCUGGUGGAGAAUGCAGUGCUCAAGGCUGUCCAGCAGUAUCUGGAAGAAACACAGAGCAAAAACAAGCCAGGGGAUGGGAGCUCUGUGAAAACGGAAGAGGCUGAUAGGAAUGGCACUGACAGUGACAACAACAGGAAAUGAGACCCAAAUGCAGGCAGGACCCCCUGCUCCGUGAGAAGCACCCCUGCCCUCCUCUGCCGAGUCAGUGGACUGAUUCGCAUUGUGCUGUCUAAGUGUCCUGUCCAGUCUGUGAAGAUUGCCUAAUACUUUUCAUGAUUGACGUGUUUGCAUUUCUGAAGCACAACAGAAGAGGAAUGGAGAACUGGGACUAUCAGAGGAAAUCAAUUUACGAAGGAAGAAUGGCCCAGGUUUCACUUGCCCUCAGCCAUGGCUGAGGGAGAGGGGACUUUGGGUUAUGCCUUGUGGACUCAAAUUAAAGGACAUGGAAGAGGCCUUGACAUAAAUGGAAUACUGCCAUUUCACUUGCCUAGCAGGGCAUUUAACUAC
rnacentral:lncRNA from 1 species